UCCUAGUUAACCUAGGCAGUCUCACUAGAGUUCCCAACCGAAUUGCUGGCAACUAGUGAUAAGGGUUGCGCUCGUUGCGGGACUUAACCCAACACCUCACGGCACGAGCUGACGACAGCCAUGCAGCACCUAUGUAAUGACCCUUGCGGGAGGCUCCCUUUCAGGAGUUGUCCACUACACUUCGAGCCUGGGUAAGGUUCUACGCGUUGCAUCGAAUUAAACCACAUGCUCCACUGCUUGUGCGGGCCCCCGUCAAUUCUUUUGAGUUUCACCCUUGCGAGCGUACUCCUCAGGCGGUAUACUUAUCGCGUUAGCUACGACACAGUCGGGGUUGAGUCCAACUACAUCAAGUAUACAUCGUUUACGGCAAGGACUAC
rnacentral:misc_RNA from 1 species